GCCCAGCAUCCAGAAGGUCUGAUCUCUUUUAAAGAAGGAAGAGGAUGUCUGUCCCCGUUUAAACCACCCCGGAGCUCAAGGAGGUGGGAGGGGCCCUGGCUCCCAUCCCUGCAGCACACAUUCGGGCCACAAGGGGGCAACCAUCUCCUGCCAGGCCAGGGAGUGGCGCAGGAACGCGAAGCGCAGGCGCACAGUACCAAGGAGAGGACGGGGAAGUCGAGGAAAGGAGCGGCCGCCCGACCAAGCGGCUGCAGCCGCCACCGCCGCCGCCGCCGCCGCCGUCAUGGCGCAUGCUCAACUGAAUUUGCAGUCGAGCCGGUGGGGCGGAGGUUUUUAGGGUCGAGAGCCACGUUAGUCCAUGCACCGGCCCAGCGGGAGAAGAGAAAGAGCAAGAGAGCAGGGUUAUAGAAACUUUAUCUCCAAAACGUAAGUAUGAAAGUGGGGUUCUGGAAAACAGAGCCUUUUUUAUUUUUUAAACCCUUACCUCUCAUCUUGGAAUCAAUACUAUGUAUUGGUUCCAAGGCAGAAGAGUGGUAAGGGCUAGGUAAUGGGGGUCACACAGCUGGAAAGUAUCUGAGGCAAGAUUUGAACCUAGGACUUCCUGUCUCUAGGCCUGACUCUCAAUCCACUGAGCUACACAGCUGCCCCUAUCUUUUUCUAAUUACACACUGUUAAGCAUUAUUUCACCUUACAGUUGUGUGUCCCACACCUCAACCAAAUGGGCCUAUAAACAAUCUAUUUCCUGAAUAUUGCAUCUUUCACAUCUGGGCCUUUGCCCAGAUUAUCUCCCCAUAACUGGAAUCCAGUCCUUUGGACUCCCAACCUCUUAGAGUUUUUAGUUUCCUAAAAGGCUCAACUCAUAAGCUAUCUUGUACAGGAAACCUUUCUUGAUCACCUUACUCAUUACUUCCUCUUUCCUCAAAUUAUUUUGUAUUUAAUACCCCCUCAGUAGCUUGUAAACUCCUUAAGGGCAGGUAGUGUUUUAUCUUUUUUUUCAUAUAACUAAAGAUGGUUUUAAUUUCUCCAUCUGAGAAUUGCCUGUAAACAUCCUUUGACACUUGUCAACUGGAGAAUAUUUUUUAUUCUUAUAAAUUUGACUCAGUUCUCUAUAUAUUUAAGAAAUAAAGUCCUUGUCAGAGAUACUUGCUAUAAAAUA
rnacentral:lncRNA from 1 species